rnacentral:rRNA from 1 species
CAGUCGAACGGUGAAGAGGAGCUUGCUUCUUGGAUCAGUGGCGAACGGGUGAGUAACACGUGAGCAAUCUGCCCUUGACUCUGGGAUAACUGCGGGAAACUGUAGCUAAUACCGGAUAUUACCUUGGAAGGCAUCUUCUGGGGUGGAAAGAAUUUUGGUCAAGGAUGAGCUCGCGGCCUAUCAGCUAGUUGGUGAGGUAAUGGCUCACCAAGGCGACGACGGGUAGCCGGCCUGAGAGGGUGACCGGCCACACUGGGACUGAGACACGGCCCAGACUCCUACGGGAGGCAGCAGUGGGGAAUAUUGCACAAUGGGCGCAAGCCUGAUGCAGCAACGCCGCGUGAGGGACGACGGCCUUCGGGUUGUAAACCUCUUUUAGUAGGGAAGAAGCGACUGGGUUUUCCUGGGAGUGACGGUACCUGCAGAAAAAGCACCGGCUAACUACGUGCCAGCAGCCGCGGUAAUACGUAGGGUGCAAGCGUUAUCCGGAAUUAUUGGGCGUAAAGAGCUCGUAGGCGGUUUGUCGCGUCUGCUGUGAAAACUGGGGGCUCAACCCCCAGCCUGCAGUGGGUACGGGCAGACUAGAGUGCGGUAGGGGAGAUUGGAAUUCCUGGUGUAGCGGUGGAAUGCGCAGAUAUCAGGAGGAACACCAAUGGCGAAGGCAGAUCUCUGGGCCGUAACUGACGCUGAGGAGCGAAAGCAUGGGGAG